CAGCAGCCGCGGUAAUACGAAGGGUGCAAGCGUUACUCGGAAUUACUGGGCGUAAAGCGUGCGUAGGUGGUGGUUUAAGUCCGUUGUGAAAGCCCUGGGCUCAACCUGGGAAUUGCAGUGGAUACUGGGUCACUAGAGUGUGGUAGAGGAUAGUGGAAUUUCCGGUGUAGCGGUGAAAUGCGUAGAGAUCUGGAGGAAUACCGAUGGCGAAGGCAGCCAUCUGGCCUAAUACUGACGCUGAGGUACGAAAGCAUGGGGAGCAAACAGGAUUAGAUACCCCAGUAGUCCCUGUCUCUUAUAA
rnacentral:rRNA from 1 species